rnacentral:rRNA from 1 species
GACGAACGCUGGCGGCGUGCUUAACACAUGCAAGUCGAACGGUAAGGCUCCAGCUUGCUGGGGUACACGAGUGGCGAACGGGUGAGUAACACGUGGGUGACCUGCCCUGCACUUCGGGAUAAGCCUGGGAAACUGGGUCUAAUACCGGAUAGGACCGCACCGUGAGGGUGUGGUGGAAAGUUUUUUCGGUGUGGGAUGGGCCCGCGGCCUAUCAGCUUGUUGGUGGGGUAAUGGCCUACCAAGGCGGCGACGGGUAGCCGGCCUGAGAGGGUGGACGGCCACAUUGGGACUGAGACACGGCCCAGACUCCUACGGGAGGCAGCAGUGGGGAAUAUUGCACAAUGGGCGGAAGCCUGAUGCAGCGACGCCGCGUGGGGGAUGACGGCCUUCGGGUUGUAAACUCCUUUCACCAUCGACGAAGGGUUUCUGACGGUAGAUGGAGAAGAAGCACCGGCUAGCUACGUGCCAGCAGCCGCGGUAAUACGUAGGGUGCGAGCGUUGUCCGGAAUUACUGGGCGUAAAGAGCUCGUAGGUGGUUUGUCGCGUCGUCUGUGAAAUUCCGGGGCUUAACUCCGGGCGUGCAGGCGAUACGGGCAUAACUUGAGUACUGUAGGGGAGGCUGGAAUUCCUGGUGUAGCGGUGAAAUGCGCAGAUAUCAGGAGGAACACCGGUGGCGAAGGCGGGUCUCUGGGCAGUAACUGACGCUGAGGAGCGAAAGCAUGGGGAGCGAACAGGAUUAGAUACCCUGGUAGUCCAUGCCGUAAACGGUGGGCGCUAGGUGUGGGUUUCCUUCCACGGGAUCCGUGCCGUAGCUAACGCAUUAAGCGCCCCGCCUGGGGAGUACGGCCGCAAGGCUAAAACUCAAAGGAAUUGACGGGGGCCCGCACAAGCGGCGGAGCAUGUGGAUUAAUUCGAUGCAACGCGAAGAACCUUACCUGGGCUUGACAUAUACAGGAUCGCGCCAGAGAUGGUGUUUCCCUUGUGGCUUGUAUACAGGUGGUGCAUGGUUGUCGUCAGCUCGUGUCGUGAGAUGUUGGGUUAAGUCCCGCAACGAGCGCAACCCUUGUCUUAUGUUGCCAGCACGUUGUGGUGGGGACUCGCAAGAAACUGCCGGGGUUAACUCGGAGGAAGGUGGGGAUGACGUCAAAUCAUCAUGCCCCUUAUGUCCAGGGCUUCACACAUGCUACAAUGGUCGGUACAGUGGGUUGCCAGUCCGUGAGGGCGAGCUAAUCCCGCAAAGCCGGUCUCAGUUCGGAUCGGGGUCUGCAACUCGACCCCGUGAAGUCGGAGUCGCUAGUAAUCGCAGAUCAGCAACGCUGCGGUGAAUACGUUCCCGGGCCU